AAAGAGCGAGGAUGUCGAGAUCUGUGGCUAGGGUUCCGGCGAAUCGGGAAAGAGAUGAUUAUCGGAACUACGGUGCUCCUGCGAUUGUGCCGGCAUUCUCUCCGACGGCGUUCCUCUUCUGAUGCUCCAUUGCAUUGCAUGCAGCUUCUCAUGAUGAUGAUGAUGAUGAUGAUGAAAACGCAGUGUAGUUUAUCUUUUUUUUCUUUUGUUAUUCUGUGAAUGCUUUCCGUCUUUCUAGUGCUAUGUAUGUGUUUGUGAUGUUGGGAAAUGAAAUGCUUUUAAUACCCGAA